CUCUAGGAACUGGUGCCACUGUGAAAGGCCCUGGUGAGGCAUCACUUAAGAUGCUGAAUGCCCUUUUGGGUGUGAAGAUUCAUUGAAGUAGGAAGUGGGACACAGAAUUCUGGGAGGUGGAUUGAUCCCUCCUUACAGGGGCAGAGCUUGUUUCUUCCAACAAGGCAGAGCCUGAAAAUGAAUCAAUCCCUGCCACACUCCUGCAGGAAGAUGGAUGCACAGUUAUUGCCCCCCACAGUUGUGGGGGGCACAGGGAUACUCCAUGAAUUGCUGUGAGCUGGAGCUGAGGGACAGAAAGGGCACUGACCUGUUGGGGUGAGUCCAGAGGAGGGCACCAAGGAAAUGGGCAGCCGUGGUCAUGGAGUUCUCUUAAGCCAAGCAGCGCCAGCAUCCCUUGGAAAAUUUUCCCGCCCCAAAGGCAUCGGCAGCUCAGUUAGAGGGCUGGAGCAGAAGAAAGCGUGGCUUGUGUGGCUGAUGGAGCUGGCCUUUCUGGGAUGUGAAUAAGAGCUUUCACUUAAUGCACAUCGCUGUACUGCCUUGAUAACUGCACUUUGUAAGCCUCCUGAAACUA